UACGAAGGGGGCUAGCGUUGCUCGGAAUCACUGGGCGUAAAGGGUGCGUAGGCGGGUCUUUUAAGUCAGAGGUGAAAUCCUGGAGCUCAACUCCAGAACUGCCUUUGAUACUGAAGAUCUUGAGUUCGGGAGAGGUGAGUGGAACUGCGAGUGGUAGAGGUGAAAUUCGUAGAUAUUCGCAAGAACACCAGUGGCGAAGGCGGCUCACUGGCCCGGA
rnacentral:rRNA from 1 species